rnacentral:tRNA from 3 species
GCGCGGGGUAGAGCAGUUUGGUAGCUCGCAAGGCUCAUAACCUUGAGGUCACGGGUUCAAAUCCUGUCUCCGCAA